rnacentral:hammerhead_ribozyme from 1 species
AUCCAGCUGACGAGUCCAAAAUAGGACGAGACGCGCAUCAGACUGCAU